rnacentral:RNase_P_RNA from 1 species
AACCCGAGAGGGAGUGAUCCCUGGAAAGUGCCACAGAAAACAGACCGCCAGCGGCCCAGGCCCUUGGCCUGGGUGCGGGCAAGGGUGAAAAGGUGGGGUAAGAGCCCACCGCCGGGGCCGCGAGGUUCCCGGGCACGGCAAACCCCGGCCGGAGCAAGGCCAAAUAGGGAGGCGCUUGAGGGUGGCCCGCCCGAUGCCUCCGGGUAGGCCGCAAAGAGGAAUGGCCCCCCACGACAGAAUCCGGCCUAUGGCCCUCUCGCCUG